rnacentral:rRNA from 1 species
UACGUAGGGGGGCAAGCGUUUGUCCGGAAUCAUUGGGCGUAAAGAGCGUGUAGGCGGCCCGAUAAGUCCGCUGUGAAAGUCCAGGGCUCAACCCUGGAAUGCCGGUGGAUACUGUCGGGCUCGAAUCCGGAAGAGGUGAGUGGAAUUCCUGGUGUAGCGGUGAAAUGCGCAGAUAUCAGGAGGAACACCGGUGGCGAAGGCGGGUCUCUGGGCCGAUACUGACGCUGGAGGAGCGAAAGCGUGGGGAGCGAACAGG